GACGAACGCUGGCGGCGUGCCUAAUACAUGCAAGUCGAACGCUUCUUUCCUCCCGAGUGCUUGCACUCAAUUGGAAAGAGGAGUGGCGGACGGGUGAGUAACACGUGGGUAACCUACCCAUCAGAGGGGGAUAACACUUGGAAACAGGUGCUAAUACCGCAUAACAGUUUAUGCCGCAUGGCAUAAGAGUGAAAGGCGCUUUCGGGUGUCGCUGAUGGAUGGACCCGCGGUGCAUUAGCUAGUUGGUGAGGUAACGGCUCACCAAGGCCACGAUGCAUAGCCGACCUGAGAGGGUGAUCGGCCACACUGGGACUGAGACACGGCCCAGACUCCUACGGGAGGCAGCAGUAGGGAAUCUUCGGCAAUGGACGAAAGUCUGACCGAGCAACGCCGCGUGAGUGAAGAAGGUGUUCGGAUCGUAAAACUCUGUUGUUAGAGAAGAACAAGGACGUUAGUAACUGAACGUCCCCUGACGGCAGCUAACCAGAAAGCCACGGCUAACUACGUG
rnacentral:rRNA from 1 species